rnacentral:lncRNA from 1 species
UUUGAAACGCUUCAUAAAUUAUAUAUGGAAAGUUGAACGAUUCAUCAAUUGCCAUAAGAUCUGUUGCUAAAUUAUGGAAGCGUUUCCAAUUUUAAGGCUUAUAUACAAUUUACUGCUUUUAAUCGGAGGAUUUAAAGGAUCAUUCAAGUCGCCUGCUUUGUUUUAUCUUCAUCAUCCUUUGAAAGUGAAGCAUCUAUUUGCCUCAGAUGGGUUCAGUCGAUUAUUAUGCUGCCAUGACCCACCGUGUCCGCCUUUUUCAUUGUCGCCGCCUCGCCGCCGCCACCGUCGAGUCUUCUUUGGCGUUUCUUGAUGGCAAUGCAACUUAUCAGCUUCAGUCUCUUGGAUUGUUGAUAAGGUAGAAGUGACCCGGGAAGCAAUAGUUAUUGGCGAUGGUGAUGACAACGAUGGAUGGGCACCAAAAUUGGAGGUGGAGGAUAACUACAAUGCACAUCUUUGAUUUUUGUGUUUUUAUGUAUUAGAAGUUAAUAUGUGUUUGUAGAGGAUUUGAAUUUUUUUUUAUAUAUUAUGUGCAUUUGACAU